AAGUAGGACGCACAGUUUAUACCGUAGCUUGCUACACCAUAGACUGUGAGUUGCGAACGGGUGAGUAACGCGUAGGUAACCUGCCUAUUAGAGGGGGAUAACUAUUGGAAACGAUAGCUAAUACCGCAUAACAGUAUGUAACACAUGUUAGAUGCUUGAAAGAUGCAAUUGCAUCGCUAGUAGAUGGACCUGCGUUGUAUUAGCUAGUAGGUAGGGUAAUGGCCUACCUAGGCGACGAUACAUAGCCGACCUGAGAGGGUGAUCGGCCACACUGGGACUGAGACACGGCCCAGACUCCUACGGGAGGCAGCAGUAGGGAAUCUUCGGCAAUGGGGGGAACCCUGACCGAGCAACGCCGCGUGAGUGAAGAAGGUUUUCGGAUCGUAAAGCUCUGUUGUUAAGGAAGAACGAGUGUGAGAAUGGAAAGUUCAUACUGUGACGGUACUUAACCAGAAAGGGACGGCUAACUACGUGCCAGCAGCCGCGGUAAUACGUAGGUCCCGAGCGUUGUC
rnacentral:rRNA from 1 species